GGCCCAGUGGCGGAAGGUCCGCUUCUGCUACAUGUUCAGGGAAUUGUAUUGUUUUCCAAGCAGAUUACGUCCGUUCGACUCGGGCCUGGGCCA